AAUUUGGGGAAGAAGAAGUAUGAAACAGA
rnacentral:piRNA from 1 species